GCGCACUGCUCAGUAACACGUGGACAACCUGCCCUGAGGACUGGAAUAAUCCCGGGAAACUGGGGGUAAUUCCAGAUAUGUCAGAACUCCUGGAAUGGGUUCUGGCAGAAAGGCUCCGGCGCCUCAGGAUGGGUCUGCGGCCUAUCAGGGUAGUAGUGGGUGUAACGUACCUACUAGCCUACGACGGGUACGGGUUGUGAGAGCAAGAGCCCGGAGAUGGAUUCUGAGACAUGAAUCCAGGCCCUACGGGGUGCAGCAGGCGCGAAAACUUUACAAUGCGGGCAACCGCGAUAAGGGGACCUCGAGUGCUGGGUUACAAACCUGGCUGUUGGGCUGCCUAAAAAGCAGUCUAUAGCAAGGGCCGGGCAAGACCGGUGCCAGCCGCCGCGGUAACACCGGCGGCUCGAGUGGUAACCGCUAUUAUUGGGUCUAAAGGGUCUGUAGCCGGCCGACUAAGUCUCUUGGGAAAUCUGGCAUCUCAAGUGUCAGGCUGCCAGGGGAUACUGGUCGGCUUGGGACCGGGAGAGGUGAGAGGUACCUCGGGGGUAGGGGUGAAAUCUUGUAAUCCUCGAGGGACCACCAGUGGCGAAGGCGUCUCAC
rnacentral:rRNA from 1 species